AUGGCCCGCGACGACCAUCAAGAUGAUGUUGAUGACUUCAUGGAGUUACUACAACAGAAUCGCGCGACUGGUCGGACAAAAGAUGGCGAUGAGAAGAAGAAACAUCAUCGCAAUAGGGCUUCGCAAGAACGCCUGACUAUAUUGACCGAGGGAUUUACUGAUGAGCAGAAGGGAGCUGCCGGUGAGAUGGGGAUGCAGUCUCUGAUGGAUGUUCAGUGUAAGAAUCUAGUGAACCCUGUAUGCGACUGGCUCGGUGAGAUUUAUGAUCCUGCCUGCAGGGAAUUCUUGAUCCCCGGACAUGAAAGACUGCCUUUGGAAGAAGAAUCCGUCUUCUGCACUUUGGGUGUGCCCCGUGGAGAAAUCAAAGUCCCGUAUGAGGUGAAUAAUAAGAUUGAGGAAGCCUUGUUUGCCCGUUUGUUUCCUGGGAUGGCAUCCAUGCCAAAUACGACUGUGCUGGCAACUUCGCUGGAGGGCAUGAAAACCCAUGGCGAGGUAUUUAAGAUGAAACUGCUCAUGUACUUGAUCUCUGUUGUCUUUGCGCCUACCACAUCUCUUCGCCCAAGCAACAAGUGCUUCCCCAUCCUGGCGAAGCUGAAAGACGUUAAGAACAUGAAUUGGUGUAAAUUCAUCGCAGACUUCCUGCAUGAUGCAUUCUCAAACAAGAUGUACCAGAAGUGA
rnacentral:rRNA from 1 species